rnacentral:rRNA from 1 species
UACGACUUAGCGGCGGACGGGUGAGUAACGCGUGGGUAACCUGCCUUACACUGGGGGAUAACAGUUAGAAAUGACUGCUAAUACCGCAUAAGCACACAGGGCCGCAUGGUCUGGUGUGAAAAACUCCGGUGGUGUAAGAUGGACCCGCGUCUGAUUAGGUAGUUGGUGGGGUAACGGCCCACCAAGCCGACGAUCAGUAGCCGACCUGAGAGGGUGACCGGCCACAUUGGGACUGAGACACGGCCCAAACUCCUACGGGAGGCAGCAUG